GUGGCCCUUGGAGGAAGUGUGUCACUAUGAGGGUGGGCUUUAGAUGUCUCCUCCUAUGCUGAGGCUCCACCCAUUGUUGAAGAGACCCUCCUCCUACCUGUCUGGAUGUUGGUCUCUCCUGGUUGCCUUCAGAUCAAGAUGUUGAACUUUCAGCUCCCUCUCUUGCAAAAUUCAUAAGCUUUGAUUUCAUGAUUUCAUCAAAGAGAGAUAAGAUGAUACUGGUCCCCUCCAAUCCUGAUCUAAGUGAACAUUACUGUGACUACUACCAUCAAAUGAUCUAAGAGCUGGUUGUAAAGAACUUUCUAGAAUGUCCUAGAAGCUCUACCUCCAAAGCCAUUUCUGUAGCUUGCUGCCAUCAUGAUGUGGUAUCCCCCCUGCCUCUUCUUCAGUUUUCCAGAAAAUUCUUGCUUCAGCCCUAGUUCUUCUUAAGGAUCCUGCAACAACUUCACUCCUAAGAUAAGGCUCUUCCAUCAUAUUGGCAAAUCAGGGGUGAGGAGCAACAAAAGUCAGGAGGUAAGUUGUGGGGCCCAUGGUACUCAGCCAAGUGAAAGGUAACCUUCCCUAUCUUCCUUAUCCAAAGACAUUUGGAUUGUAGGGAAAUAAGUGUCAAGUCAGUGUCUUCUUAUA
rnacentral:lncRNA from 1 species